UACGUAGGGUGCGAGCGUUAAUCGGAAUUACUGGGCGUAAAGCGUGCGCAGGCGGUGAUGUAAGUCCGAUGUGAAAUCCCCGGGCUUAACCUGGGAACUGCAUUGGUGACUGCAUCGCUCGAGUAUGGCAGAGGGGGGUAGAAUUCCACGUGUAGCGGUGAAAUGCGUAGAGAUGUGGAGGAAUACCGAUGGCGAAGGCAGCCCCCUGGGUCAAUACUGACGCUCAUGCACGAAAGCGUGGGGAGCAAACAGG
rnacentral:rRNA from 1 species